GCUGCGCUCAGAUGAUUUAUAAUAAUCCAGAGAGUUCACCGUCAGAACAAACCAACGCUUCUUCAGCUUCAGAGACGAGCUCUUCAUACUCGACCUCAUCUCUUUAUGCAGCCAGCCUGAAAGAGACAGACAGCUUUAGGUCCUGUCUCACCCGCUUUAGUCCUGUCUCGCUCGCUUUAGUCUUGUCUCGCACGCUUUAGGUCCUGUGUCGCCUGCUUUAGUCCUGUCUCGCACGCUUUAGGUCCUGUAUCGCACGCUUUAGGUCCUGUCUCGCACGCUUUAGUCCUGUCUCACCUCUGACGAUGAAGUCCUGCCCAUCACUGCGUGCCUCUCCUCUGGGUUUGUGUAACAGUCCGAUCCAGUGGUGCAUCUCCUCAGGCAGGUCUGCGUUACAGUGGAUCACUCGAUUGGCUGUGAUGAUCACGAACGAGUUCGGCCUGAGACAACAGAGAGGACAUCACAGACAUCAGAGGGAAGAACACUUUAGCUCCUUUACCUAGAAAGGGACAUGUUGUUUACUGUUAAAGCUGUGAAUAAGAUAAGAUGGACCUUUAUUGAUCUCCUGUAGGGGAAAUUCCAUAAUGAAAAGACACUAAGGGUACUAAAGGUGUAUGCUUGAGGGUUCCACCCCAGCAACAAGGAACAGUACUGUUUAGUUCCCAUUUUUCUGAGUGUAAAUAUAAUAUAAAGCAUUGCGAUAUAACAUCACUUAUAACGGUCCAGUUAUGUGCUUUAAAGAGUUUUAAAUGUGUAACUUCACUUUUCCAUGUAUUAUUGGUGUAAAAGCCAUUCCACUGACACGUACCUUUAAAAGUAUUCAUUUAUAUCUUCGAGUAAUUAAGAUUAUAGUAAACACAGACUUAAGAAACUUUAUUACUAACUUCAUUCCGCAGUAAAGCUUUAACCAUCAUUCUACUUUAUUUUCUUUUGGAGAAGAAAAACAAACCCAAAACAUGAAUCUGUGUUCUAACAAAACCUCAAUACUGUAGCAUCCGUGCCGAUAAAGAGUUUUUAGUACAGAAUUUUACUAUAUUAUUAAUUAUUAUUACAUUAAAUUAUUUUUACCUGUCAGGAUUGUCUGAGGCGCAAACUGAGUCGAUGAGCCCAACAUCCAGAGUUCCCUAAAAAGAUCAACAAAAAAGAGUAAAGAUCAAAUAAACAGAAUUCAACAGUUAAACAAUU